rnacentral:rRNA from 1 species
UACGUAGGGUGCAAGCGUUGUCCGGAAUUAUUGGGCGUAAAGAGCUCGUAGGCGGCUUGUCGCGUCGGCUGUGAAAUCCCGGGGCUCAACCCCGGGCCUGCAGUGGAUACGGGCUGGCUGGAGGCAGGCAGGGGAGAACGGAAUUCCUGGUGUAGCGGUGAAAUGCGCAGAUAUCAGGAGGAACACCGGUGGCGAAGGCGGGUCUCUGGGCCGAUACUGACGCUGAGGAGCGAAAGCGUGGGGAGCGAACAGG